CAAGAGCCAUAUUAAUUUAAACAGGGGCUGAAAGUGGCAUUUGAGAGAGAAGAUACUUCCUCUCGUAGUGGACACUUGUCUUUUCAGAAGAUUUAUACGACUGAGAGUCAAAACUUUUACCAGAGACUUUCAUAGUCAGUUUGAAUUCUGCAAAAUUUCUCUUUAUCUUCUGGAAUGUAUGCUCUAGACUUGGAGUGGCUCAAGCUCUUCGAUGUGAUCCUAUCAAUGUCAAGAGAAAGAAGCACUGAAGAGUCAUAAUUGUGUCCUGAUUUAUAAAUCGGAGACAGAGGGAGACGAAAACCACACUCCAGAAAGUAGCUUAAUCGGACUCACUACUAAGAUGUUAAAAGUGAAGAGGCUGGAAGAAUUCAACACGUGUUAUAACAGCAACCAGCUGGAGAAAAUGGCCUUUUUUCAGUGCAGGGAAGAGGUGGAGAAAGUGAAGUGUUUUCUGGAAAAAAAUUCUGGGGACCAGGAUUCAAGAUCUGGACAUAAUGAGCUUUCAUGCAGCUGUUGAGAAGUCCAAACAAGUUCAGAAUCCUGAUCUUUUGUGUGUGGCCUAUAUUUUCUCUCUCUAGCAACUUGGGAAACCUUCUAUUUGUCCUUGUAUUGGGAAAAGUUUCUGCCAGAACCAAGAACCACUGUCCGUAAGUGGAGGGAAGUUCAGACUGAAGAAAGAGGCAAAACCACUUUAGGUUGAUGGAAUCUUGCUGUGUCUCCAGGCUGGAGUGUAGUGGCGCGAUCUCGGCUCACUGCAACCUCUGCCUCCCGGGUUCAAGCAAUUCUCCUGCCUCAGCCUCCCGAGUAGCUGGGACUACAGGUGCCAGCCAUCACGCCCGGCUAAUUUUUUGUAUUUUUAGUAGAGAUGGGGUUUCACCAUGUUGGCCAGGAUGGUCUCGAUCUCCUGACCUCGUGAUCUACCCGCCUCAGCCUCCCAAAGUGCUGGGAUUAUAGGCGUGAGCCACCGCGCCCAGCCUAGUCUCUGCUUUUUUAAAAAAAAUGUUAGGACAGUGGUCCCUAAACUUGUCUGUGUAUUAGAAUCACCUGGGAAAUCUUUAAAAAUUCUAAGGACCAGGUAAAUUAAAUUAUAAUCUCUGGGAAUAGGACUGAUUUUUGUAUUUUUAGUAGAGACGGGGUUUUGCCAUGUUCACCAGGCUGGUCUCGAACUCCUGACCUCAGGUGAUCCACCCGCCUCAGCCUCCCAAAGUGUUGGGAUUACAGGUGUGAGCCACCACAUCCAGCCCAGACUAAUUUUUCUGAUGACAAAUGCUGCUUGUUGAUGUGAAUUCUGAUAUGGCACACACUUGAGCCUCACUUUGUUAGCUAUUAAUUUGUGUUACUGAAUUUACAGGCCUGGAAUACAAUUUGUGCUUCUUUUUAAAUAAAUUUCAUACUUUUUUUUUAAUGGACUUGUAAUCUACCUGAACUUGAAUUUGUUGAGGGUUUACGCUAAUGAAAAUAACAGAAAGACAAACUGUGAGAUAUAUCAUGCCAUUUAUAAUUAAUAAAUCACCAAACAGAGGCACAAACUUCAAGGGCUAUAAAA
rnacentral:lncRNA from 1 species